AUGUCUUCAGUCGGAUCAGGGGCUUCGUGUGCAGCCGCAAUCACAACUGGAAGAACGAGAAAAGAUGCAGCCUGGGAGCAUGCUUUACCAAUUACUGAUGAGUUUAGGACCAAGAACAGAGUUGGGUGCAAAUAUUGCUUGAACUUUUAUAAUGGUGGCAUUACAAGAUUUAAGAAGCACUUGGCUGGACUGAGAAAGGACUGUCUACCUUGCACGCAGGUUCCUGAUCAUGUUAGAGAGCAAAUGAGUGCAUUGAUAGCUGAGAAUGAUAAAAAGAAGGAUAAAUCACUAAACAAAAUGUUGGCGCUGCGAGAGGAGUUUUCUCCUGCAGCAAGUGGAAGCUCUCAACUUCCUAAGAAGCCUCUGAUCAAGGGUCCAAUGGACAGGUAUCGUGCACAGCCAGGAACAGGGAAACAAACAACGGUGAAUGUUCAUUACAAGAUCAAAGAAGCAAAGACAACUUAUGAUUAUAUCUGCGAGUUCUUCAUUGAGGCAAUUGGACAGUUUGGUCCAGGAUUGAAGCCACCUACACCUUAUCAGCUUGCCAAUCCUUUGUUGAAGAUACAAGUUAGCAAGGUAGAUGAAAUGUUGAAGGUCCAAAAGGAGGCAUGGGUUUCUAUUGGAUGCUCUAUAAUGACUGAUGCUUGGACAGAUCGCCAUGGAAGGAGCUUAAUGAAUUUGGUUGCCCAUUCUUCCAGAGGCAUGUGUUUCCUCCGUGCCAUUGAAGCUUCAAUGGAGGUUCACGAUGCCAAGUUCAUCUUCAGCUUGCCACUUGCCAAUGUGCUUAGGCGGGUUGAUGGAGACACUCCAGCCAUGGGGUUCUUAUAUGGUGAUCUUCUCCAAGCAAAGCAGGAAAUAGCAGUCCGGCUCAACCAUGUUGAGAAAAAAUAUGGUCCUAUUUGGGAGAUCAUAGAUAGAAGGUGGGAUAACAACAUGAAAACAGCGCUGCACAAAGCUGGUUAUUUUUUGAACCCUUUCUUCUACUAUGAUAGACAGAGUGAAAUGGCUGAAGAAGAUUUCAUGGAAGCAGUCAUAGAGCGUGCAUCUGUUAUGUACAAAAAUAACACAGAGGUGCAAGACAAUAUUGUCUCCCAGCUUAGUUAUUACGCUAAAGACAUAGAUUCAUUUGGAACUGACAUGGCUAUUAGACAACACAAAGUAGCAACUAUCACUCCUGUUCUUCGGCAUGUGAAAGAAAUUGGUCUGCAUCUUGUGAGGGUACAUUCAAAGAAGAGGACCAGACUAGGCCAGAAGAAGUUGAAUGACCUUGUUUAUGUGAUGUUCAACAAGAGGCUGGACUCGAAGUACUCUGAGAGGGAAAGGGACCCACUGCUUGCAAAAUACAUUGAAGAUGGGCCACCAAAUGAGUGGAUGUUGGAUGAAGAGCUACUACAAGAUGAUGAGCCAUCUGAAGAUGAAGCUGAAAUUGAGAUCAAUUCAAAGGGGAAACAAAAAUCUGUAGCUUCAACAACUAGAGGUAAAAGAGCUCGUACAAUUCAAGAUGUUGAAGAUGAGGAGGAAGAGGAGGAAGUGGCUGAAGAAGAGGAGAUGGAAGAAGAGGAUGAGAACCAAGAAGCUGAGGAAGACAAUGAUGAAGACCAGGAAGUCUUCGAUCUGACUGGAGAAGAUGAAUAG
rnacentral:rRNA from 1 species